rnacentral:rRNA from 1 species
GAUGAACGCUGGCGGCGUGCCUAAUACAUGCAAGUCGAGCGAACGGACGAGAAGCUUGCUUCUCUGAUGUUAGCGGCGGACGGGUGAGUAACACGUGGAUAACCUACCUAUAAGGCUGGGAUAACUUCGGGAAACCGGAGCUAAUACCGGAUGAUAUUUUGAACCGCAUGGUUCAAAAGUGAAAGACGGUCUUGCUGUCACUUAUAGAUGGAUCCGCGCUGCAUUAGCUAGUUGGUAAGGUAACGGCUUACCAAGGCAACGAUGCAUAGCCGACCUGAGAGGGUGAUCGGCCACACUGGAACUGAGACACGGUCCAGACUCCUACGGGAGGCAGCAGUAGGGAAUCUUCCGCAAUGGGCGAAAGCCUGACAGAGCAACGCCGCGUGAGUGAUGAAGGUCUUCGGAUCGUAAAACUCUGUUAUUAGGGAAGAACAUAUGUGUAAGUAACUGUGCACAUCUUGACGGUACCUAAUCAGAAAGCCACGGCUAACUACGUG